rnacentral:siRNA from 1 species
UGCAAAAUGAAGGGUAUAGUUGCA